UACCCAUACCACCUGCAUGGAGCUCCUUCCUGUUAGCUUUCUUACCUGUGUCCUCUAGCACCUCCCUGAGACCCCGAGCACAAUCGGGGUCAAGCUCCACAUUCUGUCUAAGGUUCCAUGACCUGCCCCACCCCUCCUUCUGUGGGGAGAUGUCAACAGUCCAAGGGCCCCACUGUGAUACUCUUACGAAGGGUGGCAGCUGCUCAGAGGAAUAGGCAUCCCACGGACCCUCCUCACCAGCACUCGGCUUCCGGCACUGCGCUAUUCUCUGGAAAGAUAACUACCCAUAGUCCUCUGGUGCGUCCUGAACACUCAGUUGGAGGAAGAUUCUGCCUGAGGAGGCAGUGCGAAGAGCCUGGGGUCUGAUGCCCCAGUGGGCGCGCCACGAAGCUUCACCCCAUCACAAGCUCAGAACAUCUUGAGCAAGUUGCCUCAGUUUCCCAUCUGGAGGGUGGGUCAGCAGCCUGAAGCUUAAGUCGCAAUGACCGUCAGCCAGUGAAGGUUUGCCAGGAGCCUCCUGACUGCUUCCCACACGGGCUUGAAAUGGAUGCUAAGGACGACAGACACCAUGCUCAGCCCCAAAUGGGACAUCUGCAUCACCCAGGAGUCACUGAACAAGAGAAGGUAGAACUUCAUGGAUCGCACGGUUGUCCCCUUAGUCACCUGCCUUCACGCCCUUGACUCAGUCCCCACGCCGGGUCUCUACUGGACAUAACUACCAGGAUGGGUCACUCAAGACAUCAUCAGAGGAGCCUCUUUGUAUGGCCAACUGGUGCAGAAGAUUUCAUCAGGAGACAGUGGAGCCGGGGGAGCGGAGCUGAGCAGAUAGGCUACAACAGUUGCCCAUCCUGUCCCACUGUGACACAACCCAGAGGCUGGAGAAUUUAUGUGAAAAACACUUACUAUCUCUAGAAUCUGGAACGUCUGACAUCGAGGGUGCAGUGGUAACCAGUCUGGCCCAGACUAUCAUCCCAUAGCGCCUCCAGAACUCUAAACGGGAGUGGCCUAAAGGUACCAGUCACAGGUCAGAGACUAGCACCAUGGAUUAAAAUGCAGUAAGACCUAACCACGUGUUGUGUACAAAAAGGCCGACUUUCAAUAGGGAAACACAAGCUAAAGGAAAAGGGGUGGAGAAAGGCGCCGGGUUUGCUCACACGAAUCAAAAGCCAAGCAGCUAAAGACGCAUCAAGCAAAGCAGCCAUCACAGCGAGGCAAAAGACCGUGGACAAACAGGCUUCCCCUUUGGCUCAAAGCCAUAGCGCCCCCAAGUCUACACCGCUGAGGAGAGUGCGGAGGAGGCAAACCCAGGUAUAUUUGCAGAAGAAGCGGAUAAGUUCUCUACUGCAAUUGGAGACUCAGCCCUCCCCUCUUACUGAUAGACGAAGAAGACAGAAAGGCAGGAGAACCUCAUAGACAGGCAGAGCCUCCCUCACCCGCCACCCUUCACCGUCACCAUCCACACAGCCCUGCAGUGAGCAACAGGAGAAUCUACAUCAAGAGCACAUGGAACCUUCCCAGGAAAGCAGGCGGACUCCAGAGAGGGCGCUGAGGGCAGAACUGCGCAUGCGCGCAGGACAGGCGCGAGACCCAGACCACCAACUUCAGCCUCUGCCACGGGGGAGAGACGGAGGCAGAACCUGCUGUGCCUUCCUGACCCGGCCUUGAAAGUCCCACUACCCCCUUGAUCAUAUUCUAUUGACCUCUCGUGCAGCCAGGGUUCAUGGAGGAAGAUGGCAUCAGGGUGGGACUAUUUGAGGGGUGAGUACCUGGAAAUAUCUCGGGAAUCAUCAUCUUCCGUCUCUCAGGACACUGGCUGACCGCCAGGCCCCGUGCUGGCACCAGUCCCCAUGGUGGCACCAGGCCCCAUGGUGGCCACUGACCACAUCACUGAGUCACUGGGGCUCGUCCCCACUGGCUUCCUUUUUUCUCUCCAAAACAUUUUCCAUGUAAGCCUUGAGCGCUGUCUCUAGCACAGUGCGCGCUCGCGACCCUUUCUGUGUCGGGGCGAGUGUCCCAAGUGUGUGCUGUCCUCUAGAUACACAUGUGGCUGAGGAACUAAACUGUAGUUUACUUUUUGUAAAGUUUGGACACACGGGUCUGGGGGUACACGCUGCCCCUGCCCUGUGGAGUUUAGAGCCCAUCCGCCAUGCUCAACUCUGGUUUCCUGUUAAUGACCUACAACAUUUAUCAUGGCCGGGCCCCUCCCAUCACCUGUCCCGGCCACUGUCUGUCACACUGGUUUGCUUGGAGUCUUUGGAAACUGGAGCACUAGCUUCACCCUCCACCCAGAACAUUCUUCCCACACACAACCCCUGCUUUUCUUUUAAUCUCACUAUUUGAUUCCCAAGCCAGCGUUUCCUUCUGGGUGUCUGUAAGGGGGUCUCCAGACUUGGACAUCACUGAGCAGCAGGAGGGUGGGGGCACCGGACUGGCCCAAGGGAUGGACGCAGGGACAAAGCCCUGCGCUUCAGCUACUCUCACCUACUCACAACCUCAGCUUUCAUAUCUGUAAAAUGGGGGUAAGAAACACCCAGCCUCUUUCUCAGGAGGCUUACCCUGUGAGUUACACACACAAAAAGCGCGAGUGAGGCCCACCGAGUCGGCGGGGUGGAGGUUCGUGCAGACCAGGUAUGGCCCUUGUAAUAAUCCCAUGGGUACGGAGUUGAGUGCGUUGUGGAGUUGUGGAGAGGGUAGAACCAAGUUCACUCACAGCAGAACUAGGAAGGGGGCAGGGGGCAGGGCAGAGAACGCCAAAGCAUCAUCUGAGCUCUGAGCUGUGCGCUGUUGCAAAUCCUCUGGAAUCAAAACAUCUGGGGUCUGUUCAUUCAAUGGUGGGUGGUGAUGUGGUUUGGCACAGGGACUGGCAAAGGUGGUUACCUCCACCAGGGACAUUAUUUGCUCCUCCUGUCGGACUCCGAGACUGGCCAACCCUCCCUUGGUGAAUCAGAGAUUGGGCUGUUUGCCCUGCACAACACCUGAGAGGUGCACUCCAGAUGGGGCCGAGGCAGGCAGACGUACCAGGCACACACUGGGAGCCCUGCAGGAGGCCGAAGGCUAUGGUAGGGUCUGCAGGCACAGCCUGUGCCCCUCUGUGCGGGCUUGACUGGUGCACAGGACAUACACUAGGAGACUGGUGGGACCAAGAAGUAGAGGGAAAUGGGUGUGCAGAUUCUGGGUCAAACCCCCACCAGAAGUGUCCAGGAGGAAGGCGGGAGGGCUCAGCAUGGGUCCCUCCCAGCUGCAGGUCCUGGUGUACACUUAAGGAGUCUGGCAAAUGGCAGCUACUGUCACUGGGCGGUAACCACCCCCCCCCCUCCAGGAAGGGGUCACUUUGGUUUUGCGUAGUAGUUUUCAUGAAUACCACUUUGAAAAUGUUUAAUGGGAAACCGGACCGUUCUCUUCCAUUAAGAGAAGAUUGCAGGGUUGGCUAUGCAUUUAGAGAGUUUACGGACAGAGGCAGAAGUGCUUGGAAAACAAAAAUGGCUGCUGGGAGGAGGGAAAAGUUUAGGCUUGGCGAAUGAGACUGGGAAUCAAACUAGGCUGGAAGGUAAGCUACCGCCCUGCCCUGCUUCGAGGGGCCUGGAAGAGCAGUAAAUAGCACUAGUUAAUGUGUAACCGGCCGAGCAUACCACCAGAGAAUUGCCGUGGGCCUACACAGGCACCUUCAGGCUUCCCGGUCUUUGUGCAACAUAUGCCUGCUAAUAAUGAAUUGAUACUGAUAGGCAACGUUAGAUUUAAAGCAUUUUUUCUUUUAAAGAGGCUGUGGUAUUGUGUGGCUUACAUUCCUCCUUUGUCAGAGAAAUGCUAAAAUAACUGGGCUACACAGCAUAGGGUGGUCCCCCAAGACUGGAAGGGAUUGGUGUCAGCUGUUCUAGAAGCUGGUCAACAAUCACAACGGUUGGGUUGUGGUGGAGGCAGGAAGCCACAAAGCUAGUACAAUGUAACCUAGCAAGGGGAAUCAAUGUUACUAAAGGCCGGCUGCUUGGUGAAGGGUAUUGUGCUGACUUAUAGAAACAAAUUAGAUUUGAUGAUGGUGCCACUGAACAAACGUCAUGUCGCCACUUUAAGAGUUUGGGAUUUGAUUGGGGAGCCUGGGGGUGGUGGGGUGCAUACUACAGGAUUCUGGAGGAUACUUUAUAGAAUCCAUACAGAGGUUGAGUUCAGCUGUGAAUAGAGCCAUAACAGACCCUGAAACCAGACAGUCGUUGAUAGAAAUAUUGGUGUUUGAGGAUGCAAACACCGAAUGUUAAGAGAGCCAUCAGACCACGGGAAGCACGUGGAGCCCCUGUAGAUGAAUGGAAAAGAGAAACAACUAGUCUCGAUUCUCAGGAGCAUAAUGCAAACAUCAUAAGGCAAAUUGUAGCUAGAAAUACCAGGAACCAAAAUGUUCAAUGUUUUCAUUGUGGCGAAUUGGGUCAUUUCCAAAGAAAUUGUAAGGCUAAAAGAAUCAGAGCUCAAAAUAACAGGUACAAUGACUCUAGAGAAUAUGGUAUCAGGUAAGAGAACACGCAGGUUCUUAUCGCCAGGAACCACAGAGUCCAGGGUAUUGCAGCCGCUGUGGAAUGGGCAAACAUUAGUCAACCGAUUGCCAGUCCAAGAGAGACAUACAAGGUAACGUCUUGCCAUCGGAGAAAACAAGCGAGGCCUGCCCGCCUGAGGCCAGUCAGGAGGUAUCAAGCAGAGAAGAAAAUCAAAAUUGGGUAUUUCUCAUCUUGUGCAUGCUACAGAAGGAAGUGCAGCUUUGGGUCUGGCCACAGAUACCCCUCUUACAUUUUCCCCAAAAGUUGAAUUAGUUACAAGUUAACCACUGGUGUGUAUAUACAGUCCCUCAGCUUCAGGGACAGUGGGAAUAGUCUUGGGAAGAAGUGGAUUCACUUCUCAAGGAUUUAUUGUGCAUCCAAGUGUAGUAGAUGGGGAUAGCAAGGAAGAAAUAAAAAUGAUUUAUAUAUGGGACAAAGGAGAUGCAAAUUGAUGCUUGGGGCUAGAAAUGCUCAACCGUUACUGUUCCCUUACAUCAAGGGUGAGACCGCUCCAGUAGAAAGGACAGGAGCUCUUGGGAGUACUGGGAAACUAGAAACAUGGCAGACAAUGGCCAAUGGUCAGAGACCCAAAUUAAUGGUACAAAUGAAUGCUGUGGACAUAGAAGGUUUGGUGGAUACAGGAGCUGAUGUUAGUACACGUUCCCAAAAGUCUUGGAAUCCAGAUUGGCUACUUCAGAAGGUUUACACAUGACUUGUAGGAAUUGGUAAAUUAUCACACUCGACGUGAAUAAGGCAAUGGGUUACCUAUGUGGGACCUGAGGGGCAAACAGAGAAGUUGAGACCUUAUGUGACUGAUAUGUCCAUAAACUUAUGGGGAAGGGGGUCUUUCACAACAAUGGGGGUACUCAAAUAUUCCUGUAAUUUGGGGGACAGCAAAUGAGGAAACCAGAGGCAAUACGGUAGAUGCUCCCGGGGAAGGCAUCGAUGCAGGUGACAGAGAGCAAUCGCAAGCUGAGCCCACGGUCAAAAAACAGGACGUCACAGGGAUUGCACCUCCAAAUUUACAAAAGGGGCCACUGCUGACAUUCCAACGGCCUUGCCCCAAAAACGGUCAUCAACCCAACCUUUGCGGCAGGAGCAGCAGCCCACAGCCAAAGAAAAAUUGCAGGCACUUGAACAACUGGUACAAGAACAGCUGGAGGCUCAACAUAGAGAAGAGUCUAUCAGCCCCUGGAGUUCCCGUGUUUGCUGUAAAAACAAUUCUUUGCUACGCUGCCUCUGAGAGAAGCUCACCCAAGAACUGCUCCUGAGGUUCCUGUGGCAGUUCGCCACUUUUAAGGCCUCGCCUCUGGACGGUUGUCAAGCCUAACAGUUCCUUCAGGGAUUGAACGACAGCCGCUGGUUCAUGCCUGGGGUCGACCUGCCAAAAGGCCCAGUCUGCAGCUGCUGAGACGAAUUUGGUGUUUGCUAUGGGACUGAACUGCUGCCAAAGAAGAUCGAGCCGCCCCCGCCCCCAAAGAACUGUUGCUGAACAGGUCCACUUCCUAAUAACUCUUCUCUUCCACUACGUCUGCUGGGUGGUGGGCUAGAGGAGAGGUGCAACCCUGAUUAAGAGUAGCCUGCAAACAAAAUUUAUGCCCGCACCAGGAUUGGUCUAUGCCCUGAGCAUCUGGACGCCCCUCUGACUGCCACAGUCUGACUCUGGGGACCACGCAGUUUUCUGAGAGUAGAAGUGCUAGCUGUGGGGAAAACAGCACCCUUGUGGCCCUGUCAGCUGCUGGGUCAGGGAGCCUGGCUGGGCUCCCUACCUCCCAGGGUUCACUGUGUGUCUCCCGCCUGGCAGCUGUGCCCUCUCUUCUAGACAAACAAAUCUGGAGCUGGGACCAAACUGCCUCUCUCCCUAGAGCUUGAUUUCACACCCUUGGGAGCCUCAGAACACAGGGCUACUGCUCUGGAGGCGGCUUUUCAGGUGCUAACCAGCAAAGUACUUGUGGCCACUGGGGGAAACACUCCUGCUCCUCCAUACCCCGUCCUGCCUGUGCGCAGCCCACUCUCAGCCCCGGGAGAUCCCUGCCUGGUCCACCCUGGUCCCAGCCCUGUUGCAUGUUUGGGGUUGGGAGCCCAAAGAAUGAACAAUAUAAAAUCUCUAAGACCUCGGAAGUGCCGCUGCCUUUCUCUGGGCUCCAGAAUCCCAUCUGUGUAAAAAGGAUGCUCUACUAUCCCAGGCUGGGGGAGAGCACUGACUGAUAUAACUGUGGACCAUACCAGGAGGGCGGGGGCGGGGCCGAGGGCUUUCUGGUGGCACAGAUGUCCUUGAGUCACCUAUCUUCAGCCCCGCCUCCUCCAC
rnacentral:sRNA from 1 species